ensembl:lncRNA
CAACGAUGAGAACGCAGCUCUAGGCCGGUCUGGAAAGGCAGCACAGUUGGGCCCAAGUGGCCCAACUCCCUGGAGGAGAGGACGGGCUCUGAAGACUCUUCCGGCUGCCCCUGAAACCCUGAAACCGCUUAGUUGUUUUUCUGGUUGACUAGCUGCUGCACGCAACUGUCAGCUGCUUGUGAACUGUGUGACGCCAGUUCGCGCUCCUGUUUGUUUUCUAAAAGGCACUGCCCUGAUUUUUUUUUAACGACUAAAUAAUAAUAAUCAUUGCAGUCUCCCUCUCCUGAGGUGUUCCUUGAUGUCUCUAGGGUGCUAGGGCUGGGCCAGCAUCUUUUCCUGCAAUUUUUUUAUCCUCCCAUGGACAGCAGGGAGAACACAGGCUGCACCAGGCUGUUACACCAGGCCUCCCCGCUGGGAUAAAUGCAGCUUGUUUCAAAAGUGAAGGAAGGAAGGAGAGAGCGGAGAGGACAUCAAUCCCCUCCUUCCCAAAGGUUGCACCUACCAGCGACAGUGAGUUCCUGUUUUGAGGAGCAGGAGCUUGAAUAUUGUGAGCCUAAUGACAAAGUCAACAAUUGUUCAGAAGACCUGCAUUCACCAGAAAGAAUCUUUUUACCAAUAUUCAGAUGAUCAAAUUUUAAAAUUCAGCACGGACUGAGUUUUUAUACAUUCUGCACACUCCAAAACAGGGGAAGACCACCACAGCGUGCACAGGAGGAAAAAAGUCAGACUGUGCAAUCAUUAUGCAAUAAUGCAUUAAUAAUAUAUGGUUUAUUGAACCAAAAAAGACUUUGGCCAAACUCCCAGUCAUUUAACCCAUUGAGUGGUUUUAAGUUAUAUAGCCACCGAAGAAGAAAUUACCUGAGGAAGAAUAGAGUAAACCUACCAGGAACCUCCUCAGUUACCUAAAGCAAUGCCUCUAAGAAGCAUGGAGAAGAAGCUCAGUGUGGAAAUGGAGAAAACCAACUUGUUCAUCUAAAGCUGAGUCUCAGGGACUAUUUGGCACACAGCUAUGAACCUGGGGGACUGGAAAAGUCAGAAACUUAGCAGUACCGAGGAUCAAACUCCGGACCUUGCACUUGUGAGGCAGGUGGCAGAACCACUGAGCUAAAUCCCUGACAAUUUGCAUUUCUUGAAUGGCUAGCAAUAUUGAGCAUUUUUUCAUGUGUUUAUUGGCUGUUUAUACUUCUUCAUCUGAGAAGUGUCUAUUCACUUCAGAUGUGCAUUUUUGGAUUGGGUCUUUAAAUUUGGGGGGUCUAAUUUUGGGGGGUUCUUUAUGUAGUCUAAGUAUUACUCCUCUGAGUAGCUAGCAAAAUUUUUUUGGGAAACAAAAGUACUUCUUGAAUAAAAUCAGUCUAUGCACAUAACAGCUACAAAAUGUGUAAUGAUUACAAAAAAUAUUAUUUUGUUUCUCUGAAAUCAUAAUACUGAUAUAUGACAUUUAUUGAGUUUUUAACCCUAUGCUUCAAUGUCUGAUAUGUUGUCUCAUUUAAGUUUCACAGUGAUUGUGUUGUAGGAAUCAUUAUUAUUUUCAUUUCACAGAUGAGGAAACUAUACUUGGGACAGGGCAGGUAAAGUGAUCAAAGUCACAAAAGGAGAAAGUAAUAGAAUAAUCUGUCUAUGGCCAGAGUUUUCACAAUCCACAGGGCUUUCUUAACCUGCAGGAAAAACAAGUCCCUGUGGCUCAUUGCCAGGGAUCUUCCCUGCCUGACUGAAGCUUCAUCAACAGUGGAAAGCUGCCCUACAUGGAGGGCAGGGGCCUCUGCUUGCUGUCUGCUUUGCCACAUGAAAUGCAAGGUCCUUCAUGACAACAAACCUGUAUCCUCUUCUCCCAGGAGCAUAGGGAUCAAAGAGCCCAUGGAAGGACAGACUGAGAAUUCCUUUCCAUGAGAAGGCCAGGAACACAGCAUAGGAAGCAUAACUAGUUGUUGAAUCUUCUACCAAAUGACGUUAAUGGAUCUGAGAGCCUUAUGCCAUGGCAACAUGAAAAAACUGUCCUCACCUUCUGCUGUCACCUGCCAGAGACCUGACCUGCCAGAGGCUGAAUGUAGUGUGUCUCCAAGCAGCUAAUCCUGCAGUUCUCACAGGCCCUGAUGCUGUUCAGGAUGCUGCCUGGAGUUCUCACAGCUGCACUUCUCCAGAGACAGAGCCCAUGCACAUUGUGCCCCAACUGCCACUAAUACCUCACCAUUAUGAAAUAGGAGCCACUGAAUGUGUGCUGCUCCAUGAGGCCUGUAGCCCUGCACCUCACCUUCCCUGAGGCUCUGACACUAUUUCACCAGGCUCACAUACAUGCUAGUGCACUGUUCUCCAGCUGAGCUGCUACAGCUCCCUCCCCUGAGGAUGUACACUUCCUAGAAGGUCCCCCAUCUCUGCCAUCCUCACAGCUGCUAUCCCCCAUUCAUCCCCAGCCACCUGGAGCCAAGGCCCAGUGGAAUAGCUAUGACUCUCAGAGCCCAAGCUCACAUGGAACCUCACUCUGGGGACCAGGUGUCUGACACAAAGAAGACGCUGUACCCAGGUUGGUGGAGCACAUACAUGCCCUUGGUGCCUGGACCAAUCAAGUGCCCCGCUCCCAGAAAAUUGGAAAUUUGGCACAGGGGAGCAGAUGCCCCAUUGGCAUCCCCCACCUUGGGGACCAUUUGCUGUAUCCCAGAAGAGAUGCCACUCCUGAGCUGGUGAAGUGGCUGUGUCCCCUCAGAACCCGAGCUAACCUAGUACUUUAUCUUAAG